CUUAAGCGUGUGGCUUUCCUCCUGCGCAGCGGAGAUCACAACGCUGACAGAUAACCAGCACAGUGGAAGGAGUCAGCAACUUUGGGCUGGGUUGAGAUCUUCUGGCACAAAGUCUGGGUGGGUCUUUCACCAGCUGCACUGGGGACAUGAAGUUAUCGCAUUCCUCUCUGCAACAUUUCUCCAAAGUGGACUUAGGUCACACACCUCUCUAGUGAAGCUGCAGCAGAUGCUGAUGCUGGUGAAAUAAUCGAAGAUAUUCCACACAUAAACUUAGGUGAGUUCACGUCCAAAUUCUUAUAAGGCCUGAAAAACUGUGAGCAAAAUGCUGGAUUUUCAAUAUUGAAAAAAAGAUGUGGGUGGCUAAUGGUUAGGUAGUUCAUGGUGCAAGAAAAA
rnacentral:lncRNA from 1 species